UGCAAGUCAUUGGGAUUUAUAUUUAUUAAACCCAAGGGCAUAAUUAACUUAAAUGUAAUAUAAAAUGGGAUAAGUUUUUAAUCUAUUUAUAGAUUAUUAAUACAAUCCCGGGGCGUUCUAUAUAGUUAUGUGUAAUAAUAUUUAUAUUAUUUAUACCUCUAACUGGAGCGUACCUUGAGCAUUUAUGCUGUGACCCGAAAGAUGGUGAUCUAUACUUGAUCAGGUUGAAGUCAGGGGAAACCCUGAUGGAAGACCGAAACAGUUCUGACGUGCAAAUCGAUUGUCAGAAUUGAGUAUAGCUGCGUAAGACUCAUCGAACCAUCUAGUAGCUGGUUCCCUCCGAAGUUUCUCUCAGGAUAGCUGGUGCAUUGUAAUAUUAUAUAAAAUAUUCCUAUCUGGUAAAGCGAAUGAUUAGAGGCCUUAGGGUCGAAACGACCUUAACCUAUUCUCAAACUUUAAAUGGGUAAGAACCUCACCUUUCUUGAUAUGAAGGUUGAGGUUAUGAUAUAAUGUGCCCAGUGGGCCACUUUUGGUAAGCAGAACUGGCGCUGUGGGAUGAACCAAACGUUAUGUUACGGUGCCCAAAUUAACAACUCAUGCAGAUACCAUGAAAGGCGUUAGUUGCUAAAAACAGCAUGACGGUGGACAUGGAAGUCGUAAUCCGCUAAGGAGUGUGUAACAACUCACAUGCCGAAGCAACUAGCCCUUAAAAUGGAUGGCGCUUAAGUUGUAUACCUAUACAUUACCGCUAAAGUAAAUGGUUUAUAUUCAAUUUCGGUUGAAUUUUAAAUUUUGAAACUUUAGUGAGUAGGAGGGUACAAUGGUGUGCUUAGAAGUGUUUGGCGUAAGCCUGCAUGGAGCCGCCAUUGGUACAGAUCUUGGUGGUAGUAGCAAAUAAUCGAAUGAGACCUUGGAGGACUGAAGUGGAGAAGGGUUUCGUGUGAACAGUGGUUGAUCACGAGUUAGUCGGUCCUAAGUUCAAGGCGAAAGCCGAAAAUUUUCAAGUUAUAAUGAAAAAAUAUAUUUAUUUAUAUUUAGGAUUUUUAAACACUUGAUUAUUUUUGAACGAAAGGGAAUACGGUUCCAAUUCCGUAACCUGUUGAGUAUCCGUUUGUUAUUAAAAAUGGGCCUUGUGCUCAUCCUGGCAACAGAAACGACCAUAAAGAAGCCGUCGAGAGAUAUCGGAAGAGUUUUCUUUUCUGUUUUAUAGUCGUACUACCAUGGAAGUCUUUCGAAGAGAGAUAUGGUAGAUGGACUAGAAGAGCAUGACAUUUACUGUUGUGUCGAUAUUUUCUCCUCGGACCUUGAAAAUUUAUGGUGGGGUCACGCAAACUUCUCAACAGGCCGUACCGAUAUCCGCAGCUGGUCUCCAAGGUGAAGAGUCUCUAGUCGAUAGAAUAAUGUAGGUAAGGGAAGUCGGCAAAUUAGAUCCGUAACUUCGGGAUAAGGAUUGGCUCUGAAGAUUGAGAUAGUCGGGCUUGAUUGGGAAGCAAUAACAUGGUUUAUGUGCUCGUUCUGGAUAAAUAAAGAUUUUCGGAUCUUGUUCCCCGGAUAGUAGUUACGUAACCAAUUGUGGAACUUUUUUGCUAAAAUUUUUAAGGAACUAUCGAAAGAUAAAUUCUUUUUAAAUUAUAACGAUUAUCAAUUAACAAUCAAUUCAGAACUGGCACGGACUUGGGGAAUCCGACUGUCUAAUUAAAACAAAGCAUUGUGAUGGCCCCAGCGGGUGUUGACACAAUGUGAUUUCUGCCCAGUGCUCUGAAUGUCAACGUGAAGAAAUUCAAGUAAGCGCGGGUCAACGGCGGGAGUAACUAUGACUCUCUUAAGGUAGCCAAAUGCCUCGUCAUCUAAUUAGUGACGCGCAUGAAUGGAUUAACGAGAUUCCUUCUGUCCCUAUCUACUAUCUAGCGAAACCACAGCCAAGGGAACGGGCUUGGAAUAAUUAGCGGGGAAAGAAGACCCUUUUGAGCUUGACUCUAGUCUGGCAGUGUAAGGAGACAUAAGAGGUGUAGCAUAAGUGGGAGAUAUUUGGAUAUUUAUUCAUUUGUCGCCAAUGAAAUACCACUACUCUUAUUGUUUCCUUACUUACUUGAUUAAAUGGAACGUGUAUCAUUUCUUAGCCAUUUUACGGAUAUAUUUAUAUAUCUUAUGGUAUUAGGUCUUGAUGCAAGCUUCUUGAUCAAAAUAUCACGAGUUUGUUAUAUAAUUGUAAACAAAUUUUAAUUAAAUGAUGGCAUCAUUUCGAUGUUAUUGUUAUAAUUGAAAUUUGGUAUAACUCCAGCACUCAGGUAUGAUCCAAUUCAAGGACAUUGCCAGGUGGGGAGUUUGACUGGGGCGGUACAUCUCUCAAAUAAUAACGGAGGUGUCCCAAGGCCAGCUCAGUGCGGACAGAAACCACACAUAGAGCAAAAGGGCAAAUGCUGACUUGAUCUCGGUGUUCAGUACACACAGAGACAGCUAAAGCUCGGCCUAUCGAUCCUUUUGGUUUAAAGAGUUUUUAACAAGAGGUGUCAGAAAAGUUACCAUAGGGAUAACUGGCUUGUGGCGGCCAAGCGUUCAUAGCGACGUCGCUUUUUGAUCCUUCGAUGUCGGCUCUUCCUAUCAUUGUGAAGCAAAAUUCACCAAGCGUUGGAUUGUUCACCCAUGCAAGGGAACGUGAGCUGGGUUUAGACCGUCGUGAGACAGGUUAGUUUUAUCCUACUAAUGACAAUAUUGUUGUUGCGACAGCAUUCCUGCGUAGUACGAGAGGAACCGCAGGUACGGACCAAUGGCACAAUACUUGUUCGAGCGAACAGUGGUAUGACGCUACGUCCGUUGGAUUAUGCCUGAACGCCUCUAAGGUCGUAUCCGUGCUGGACUGCAAUGAUAAAAAUGGGGCAAUUGCAUUGUAUGGCUUCUAAACCAUUUAAAGUUUAUAUUCAUUUAUAAACGGCAAUGGAUGUGAUGCCAAUGUUAUUAGUAACAUAGCAAAUUCGGGAGGAUUAAUUAUCACCUGAAUGCCGCGCUAGUUACUUAUUAAAACAUUAUUUAAUACAAUGACAAUGCCUAGAAUCAAUUGUAAACGACUUUUGUAACGGGCA
rnacentral:rRNA from 1 species